AUGGCGAAAUGCUGGCUGCUCCUCCUCUUAUUGACGUUUAUCUUGCCCGCUGCGCGCGCGGCAUGGUGCCAUCCCGACGACCUCCGCGCAUUGCGGGGCUUUGCUGGGAACCUCAGCGGCGGGGGUGUCCGUCUUCGAGCCGUGUGGCGCGGCACUUCGUGCUGCAGCUGGGUAGGUGUGGGCUGUGAUGGCGCCCAUGGUCGUGUCACGGCGCUACGACUCCCCGGGCAUGGCCUUGCGGGGCCCAUCCCAGGAGCCUCUCUGGCGGGCCUCACGCGGCUGGAGGAGCUUUUUCUCGGCUCCAACUCUUUCACGGGGUCACUUCCUGAGGCGCUCUUCGGCCUCGUUGGGCUGCAGAAGCUCUCACUCGAAUCCAACGAGCUCACUGGCCAGCUGAGCUCGCGCCUCCACAAGCUCAAGGUCCUCACCUUGCUAGACUUGUCCAUCAACCGCUUCUCCGGCCGCCUCCUAGAUGACGUGUUCUGGGACCUCACGUCACUAGAGCAUUUGGUCAUGCACUCCAACAACUUCUUUGGAUCAUUGCCGCCAUCCCUAUCGUCAUUGUCAUCUCUCCGUGAGCUCAGCCUCCGGAACAACUCCUUGUCUGGUCCGCUUGCCCGUGUCAAUUUCUCUGGCAUGCCACUUCUUGCUUCGGUUGACUUUGCCGCAAACUACCUCAAUGGGUCACUCCCGACUAGCCUCGCGGAUUGCAACGUACUCAAGUCGCUCAGCCUUGCCAGCAACCAACUCGUUGGCACCAUUCCAUUGUGGAUUGGUGAACUUGACCACCUUCACUACCUGGAUCUCUCAAAUAAUUCAUUGGUUGGCGAGGUACCCAAGGGAUUGACAUUGCUCAAGGGUCUCACCAUCGCUGAUCAUUCACCGGGUAUGGCUUUCACUAACAUGUCAUUUUAUGUGAAGCGUAAUAGAAGAACACUCCAACAACAAAAACCAAAUGUCAUAACUGGGACCAACAACUUUGUCAAAUCUGGAGAGGGCAAUGUUGUAUCUGGGAAUGACAACACUGUUGUAUCUGGUGACAGCAAUACCGUAUCUGGGAGCGAUAAUACUGUCACAUCUGGGGACAAGAAUGUCCUAACCGGUAGCAACCAUGUUGUAUCUGGGAACAACAAUGUUGUAUCUGAAAACGACCAUGUCGUAAAUGGGAAUGGCAAUACCGUAUCCGGGGGGAACAAUAAGGUAACCGGCAACAACAAUGUUGUAUCUGGGAGUGACCACGUCGUAUAUGGGAAU
rnacentral:rRNA from 1 species